GACGAACGCUGGCGGCGUGCUUAACACAUGCAAGUCGAACGCUGAAGCUCAGCUUUUGUUGGGUGGAUGAGUGGCGAACGGGUGAGUAACACGUGAGUAACCUGCCCCCUUCUUUGGGAUAACGCCCGGAAACGGGUGCUAAUACUGGAUAUUCACUGGUCUUCGCAUGGGGGUUGGUGGAAAGGGUUUUUCUGGUGGGGGAUGGGCUCGCGGCCUAUCGGCUUGUUGGUGGGGUGAUGGCCUACCAAGGCUUUGACGGGUAGCCGGCCUGAGAGGGUGACCGGGCACAUUGGGACUGAGAUGCGGCCCAGACUCCUACGGGGGGCAGCAGUGGGGAAUAUUGCAGAAUGGGCGAAAGCCUGAUGCAGCGACGCCGCGUGAGGGAUGGAGGCCUUCGGGUUGUGAACCUCUUUCGCUCAUGGUGAAGCCGCAACAAUGGUUGUGGUGAGGGUAGUGGGUAAAGAAGCGCCGGCUAACUACGUG
rnacentral:rRNA from 1 species